UUCGGGUUGUAAAGUACUUUCAGCAGUGAGGAAGGUUCAUGCGUUAAUAGCGUAUGGAUUUGACGUUAGCUGCAGAAGAAGCACCGGCUAACUCCGUGCCAGCAGCCGCGGUAAUACGGAGGGUGCGAGCGUUAAUCGGAAUUACUGGGCGUAAAGCGCAUGCAGGUGGUUUGUUAAGUCAGAUGUGAAAGACCCGGGGCGUCAACCUCGGAAUUGCAUUUGAAACUGGCAGACUAGAGUACUGUAGAGGGGGGUAGGAAUUUCAGGUGUAGCGGUGAAAUGCGUAGAGAUCUGAAGGAAUACCGGUGGCGAAGGCGGCCCCCUGGACAGAUACUGACACUCAGAUGCGAAAGCGUGGGGAGCAAACAGGAUUAGAUACCCUGGUAG
rnacentral:rRNA from 1 species